UACACUUAAAUGUAUACAUAUGUGUAUAUAACGGCAUAAAUAUAGUGGUGGUGCUUUCUGACAAUUAAUCGACCAGUCAUUUAGUACUUGCAGCAGUAAUGGUGCUAUAUAGUAUACUUGUAUUUACACAAUUUCUUUUGAUUUUUUAAGAUGCUACCAUUCCAUGGAUAUUUCGUACAACGUAAUGUAGAGUGUCUUAAACUGAUUAGGACAUCAUGAAAAUGCUUGUUUAAAUACAAAAUAAUCGGAUGGCGUAAAUAAGUCUCCAAUAAUUGCAUAACGCCUACAAGAGACAAUAAACAGUUUUUCUCGCGUAACAAUUUACACCGCGAAAUUUGCUAAAAAGUGUUUAAUAUAGAGAUUAUUUUAAUCAGCAUAGCUUCAGUGUAAAACAUUCCACCACAUAGUAUGGCCUCGGUCGCCGCUUGGCUGCCCUUUGCACGGGCGGCGGCCAUCGGUUGGGUACCAAUUGCUACACACCCUUUACCGCCACCACCCAUACCAAAAGAUCGUCGCAAAACCGACGAUGAGAAGCUGUUGAUUAAUGUUUCUGGACGUCGUUUUGAAACGUGGCGCAAUACGCUCGAGAAAUAUCCGGAUACGUUGCUUGGUUCAAAUGAACGUGAGUUCUUUUACGACGAGGAUUGCAAGGAGUAUUUCUUCGAUAGAGAUCCAGAUAUAUUUCGUCAUAUACUCAACUAUUAUCGCACAGGCAAAUUGCAUUAUCCGAAACAUGAAUGUCUCACGAGUUAUGAUGAAGAAUUGGCAUUCUUCGGUAUUAUGCCCGAUGUAAUUGGCGACUGUUGUUAUGAAGAUUACCGCGAUCGUAAACGUGAGAAUGCUGAACGUUUGAUGGAUGACAAAUUGUCAGAGAAUGGCGAUCAGAAUUUACAACAGUUAACGAAUAUACGACAGAAAAUGUGGCGCGCAUUCGAGAAUCCACACACUUCUACAGCAGCAUUAGUGUUUUACUAUGUAACAGGGUUCUUCAUCGCGGUCUCUGUGAUGGCCAAUGUUGUGGAGACAGUACCAUGUGGCCAUAGACCCGGUCGAGCCGGUACACUGCCUUGCGGUGAACGUUAUAAAAUCGUAUUCUUCUGCCUUGAUACCGCCUGCGUUAUGAUAUUUACCGCCGAGUACUUAUUACGUCUAUUUGCUGCACCCGAUCGUUGCAAGUUUGUGCGCAGCGUAAUGAGUAUUAUUGAUGUUGUUGCUAUACUGCCAUAUUAUAUUGGAUUAGGCAUUACCGAUAACGAUGAUGUGAGUGGUGCCUUUGUGACGUUACGUGUUUUUCGGGUUUUUCGAAUAUUCAAAUUCUCACGCCACUCACAAGGACUACGGAUACUUGGAUACACAUUAAAGUCCUGUGCUUCAGAAUUGGGAUUUCUGGUAUUCUCACUGGCAAUGGCGAUUAUUAUUUUUGCAACCGUUAUGUUUUAUGCUGAAAAGAAUGUCAACGGUACGAAUUUCACAUCUAUUCCGGCCGCUUUCUGGUAUACCAUAGUAACAAUGACAACGCUGGGUUAUGGUGACAUGGUGCCUGAAACCAUAGCUGGAAAAAUCGUGGGCGGAGUUUGCUCACUCAGUGGAGUACUUGUGAUCGCUUUACCUGUGCCAGUUAUUGUUUCAAACUUUAGCAGAAUAUAUCAUCAGAACCAGAGGGCCGAUAAACGAAAAGCACAACGCAAGGCACGCUUGGCAAGAAUAAGAAUUGCUAAAGCUUCCUCGGGUGCUGCAUUUGUUAGUAAGAAGAAAGCUGCGGAAGCUCGUUGGGCCGCACAGGAGUCAGGAAUUGAAUUGGAUGACAAUUAUCGGGAUGAGGACAUAUUUGAACUACAACAUCAUCAUCUACUGAGGUGUCUUGAGAAGACAACUGAUCGCGAAUUUGUUGAGCUUGAAAUACCAUACAAUGGUCAACCGAAGCGUACUGGUUCUCCAUCCCCAAUGGCUAGUCCUGCCCAUUCAACAAAUAGUGCCGUCGGUUUAAUGCAAUCAUGUUGCGGCCGUUGCUGUUCUCAACGUUAUCAGAUUUCGGUUGGAUGAAGUUGACGUAAAUUAAUUGCUAGCUUCUCAUAGCCAAAAAUUAAUUGCAAAUACCAAGCGAAACCAGGUGGCUCUCCACCUCAUUUUUCCAACGGAGUGGCGGUCUACCUCUUCCUAUGUUUCCUCCGGCGGAUACUGGACUGGUACAGGACGGGAAUGAUGAGCGACUUGUAGGGUUUGGUCUUGGUUCGUCGAGUGAGGACUUUACAAUUCAAUUGCCUGCUCAGUAGAAAGUAGCACCUGUUGGCCGACGUUAUUGGUGUUGCUAGAAGAAAGUAUCUACAAGUUCAAAGACUUGACUGUCAACAGUGAGCCAAGACGCGAGUGUGCUGACUGUUUGUUUGAUGACUGGAGAUAUUUCGUCUUGUCCUCAUUCACCACCAGACUUAUUCGCUUCACUUCCGUAUCUAGUCUGGGAAAACAGAACUGAAGGUGCAGUUGUUACUUAGAAACUUUACUACCACAUAAAGGAUAAUCUGUUCAACAAACUUUGAACACAUUUUCUGUAAAAAAGCAAGCUCGUCUACGGAUUAUAUUUUUAUAAUUUAUUUUCUUUUUUAUCAAUUUUUAAUUUUUGAUUGAAUUUUUAGUAUUUCUUAUAUUUUUAAAUGAAUUAAUAAAGUUUUACUUUUGGUUUAUAUUUAAAUAUACUUAUUUUUAUACACUCGCAACAAAGUUGCUAAGAGAGUAUUAUAGUUUUGUUCACAUAACGGUUGGUUGUAAGACCUGAAACUAAACGAGUAGGGUUAUAUAUAGUAUAUCAAAAUGAUCAGUGUGACGAUUAAAGUUCAAAUAUGGAUGUCUGUCAGUCCGUCCGUCCGUGCAAGCUGUAACUUGAGUAAAAAUUGAGAUAUCUUGAUGAAACUUGGUAGACGUAUUCCUCGGCACCAUAAAAAGGUUAAGUUCGAAGAUGGAACACUGCCACGCCCACAAAAUGGCAAUAACCGUAAACACAUAAAGUGCCAUAACUAAGCCAUAAAUAAAGUUAUUAAAAAAAAUUAUUUGGAACUAAGGAUCGCACUAUUAAGGGGCAUAUUCGGGUGCAAUUUUUUUGGGGAAGUGGGCGUGGCCCCGCCCCCUACUAAGUUUUUUUACAUAUCUCGUAAACUACUUAUGCUAUAUGAAUCAACUUUUCGUUAAAGUACUACCUUACGCAGUCCAAAAAUGGAGGAAAUCGAGCUAUAACCACGCCCACCAUCCAUACAAAGGUUAUGUUGAAAACUACUAAAAAUGCUUUAAUUCAGUAAGGGAAAACACCAGAAACCUUUAAUUUCAUUGUAAAGAAGGUACAGAAGGGUUCCACCCAAAUUGGUAUACAAAAUUUUAAGUGGGUGUGGCUCCGCCUACUUAUGGAUCAAAAACCAUUUCUCCGAAACUAAUCGACCAAUAUCAGUGAAACUUGGUUUGUAAUAGUAUCCUUGCAUCCCAAUGAUAUCUUGUGAAAAUAGGCCAAAUCGGUUCACAACCACGCCCACUUCCAAUAUACCAGAACUUUGAAGUCGACCUGAAUUACAAUAUGUAAAGUAAGCACUAGUGAAGAUAUCGGAACAGAACUUUGCAUAAAUACUGCAUUUAUAGUGUAGCAGCCCCUUUCUAAAAAUCGCCGAAAUCGGACCAUAGGUUUUCAAGGCCCCUAUAUAUCGUUCAUGAGGACCUCGGUGCUUCUAUGCUUUAUGCUUUAUGCCUUGAGAGUGUCUAAUAUUUAUUCCAGCAUGCCUGCCUUUGUACCAAAGUUGUUGCUAUUGCUUAAACUCAACCACAAAUAUAUUUUACUGGAGAUUUACAUGAAAUUCCUGUUUGAUAAAUAUGUAUGUGUCCUUAGCGCCCAUAGACAAAAUAUAUUAAUUUUUGUUUUAUUUUUGAUAUUCGAUUAUAUUUUCUCAUUAAGAAAACAUAUUAGUUUGGAUGUACUGUGGUUUCAUACAACCACAACAUGUAAUCAACACACGAUUUCGUCUAAUAAUGGAUGCCGAAUUCUAGGCAAAAAACACAAUUUUUACGGGACAAAAAUACUUCAUAUAUGGCCGUAAUUUUGAGGUUCCCUAAUUUUUUAAUGAAAAAAAAACAGAUGAUUCAAAUUUAAUAGUGGUUGAUUAUUAUCAUUCGAAAUAGCAUUCUACGACAUUUAUUAUUUAAAGACAAUCUUUUUAAAUGUUACCCGCGGCUACGUCUCAGAUAGUACAUCCGUCGAGUCCAAUUUUCGGUGACUCUUUCGAGCAUUUCGACUGGUAACUGGCGAAUGACACAGGAAAAAAUUUAACGGCGUGUUGUCGCACGAUCUCGGUGGCCAAUCUGCCGGCUCAAAAUGUGCAAUUAUCCGCUCACCGAAGUGUUCCCUCAAUAAAUCCAUUGAUUGUGAUGUGUGGGAAAUGGCAUCAUCUUUUUUAAACCAAAUGUUGCCGAGAUGUGUCGCGUUAACGGUCCCCAUGAUUCCACCGGCCUACAUCUCGAAGUAAAGUGCGCGAGUCGUUCCAUACGUCAGUCCGAGUUGUUACGUACGGCGCCGAAUCGACUCUCCACAGUCUUCGCGAAACACAUUCUUUACAGAAUGUGAAUUUUCGUAAUAAAACAAUUUUUAAAGGUUGUUCAGACGUAAGUCAUUCCAUGAUGAAGUGCCGAACUAAAUAACAUAACAGCUUGACACGACUCACGCGAGAUCUGUUGAAAAAAGGCUAUUGAAUAAAGUACGUUUACUUGGAUCACCCUUUAGCUUGGUGGUGAAAAUAGAGAAAUCGGUCCUGGAAUUACACCAGCACACAUAUACUACAUAGUACUAGCUGACCACGCAGACGUUGCCCUGGGCGAAAUUAUUUGUUUUGAUUAUUUGUUUUGCGAAACAUAGUAAUGACAGAUCCAAUAUUGAGACGCAAAUGAUGCGACGGCAUGCCAGGCAAAUCCAAAGAAUUUAGAAAAUCAACUGGAUAAUUCACGGCUUUGUCUUCAUUUUCAACACAAAUCUCCCGGAAUUUGACAUGAACCGUAUAGUUUAAGUAAUCAGCAUCGAAAUUGCGCGUGCACUCAACCUAUCGUAUGUAUGUGAUUGGCGUUGCAACCGUUAAGCCGGUUAUAGCCGAAUCGACGAUAAUCCGCCACUUCUCUCUCACCUUCGCAGUUCGGCGCCAGUUGGAGAUCCCAAGUGUAACCAGGUCGCUCUCCACCUGGUCCCUCCAACGGAGUGGAGGCCUUCCCCUCCUCGGCUUCCUCCGGCGGGUACUGCAUCGAACACUUUCAGGGCUGGAGUGUUUUCGUCCAUUCGGACAACAUGACCUAUCCAGCGUAGCCACUGUAUUUUUAUUCGUUGAACUAUGUCCUUGUCGUCGUAGAAAGUGCUGAACACAAAGACGACGACACGACAAGACGUAGCGACAGCUGACCACAAAUGAUUUGGCGCAUGGUGAAUAUCUGGUCAGUUGUCGAUUUUCCAGGUCUAAAGACACACUGAUAAGGUCCAAUCAGUUUGUUGACGGUGGGCUUUCACACAGUACGCUCGAUAGAACUUUGUAUGCGAUAUUUAGGAGACUUAUCAGAUUGUGGGAUAUCCCUUUUUAUGGAUUGGGCAGAGCACACUGAGAUUCCAAUCGUCGGGCAUACUUUCUUCCGACCAUAUUCUGCAAAGUAGCUGAUGCAUGCACCUUAUCAGUUCUUCACCGCCGUAUUUGAAUAGCUCUGUCGGUAAUCUAUCGGCUCCCGCUGCUUUGUUGUUCUUCAAGCGGGUAAUUGCUAUUCGAAUUUCUUCAUGGACGACUAAUGGAACAUCUGUUCCAUCGUCAUCAAUUGGGGGAUCGGGUUCGCCAUCUCCUGGUGUGUAGUAGAAAAUCACAUUUAUUUAUUAUUAAUAACAAAAAUACUUAGUAAUAACAAUAAAUAGGGAAAAACCCUUAACAAAACCGGUUAUAUAUUUUCCUUUUGACAAUUCUCAGCGCAUUAAAUGUCACAAAUAUGAAAAGGCACUUAAAAGAGUAAAAUUGCAAACAAUUUUGUAUUUGUGGCUUAAAUAUUACAGGCAUUUAAGCGGGAAAUGCACUUAAGCGGACGCUCUUAAGCGGGGAAUUUUAUAUGUAAAUUUAGAGAAAAAACAACGAAGACGCAAAAUAUGGUCACUUAAGCGGGAAAGGCACAUAAACCGAGGGCACUUAAGUGGGGAUCACUGUAUUAGAUAAUGAUUUUCGCUGUUCUAAGAGUGGUCGUAGAAUUCUUCCUUUUUAUUUAUUUUGAUUCAUUUGAAAGAUACAGCCUUGGCCAAAAGUAUUAGGCACCCUAGAUAUAAAAUCCCUAGGUCAGUAAACGGCAAAUCAUCAGACUCAAUAAACUGCAACAAGUGUUCCUAUGGAAUGUUUGCUGAGAAUGGAGGCUCAGACAAAACACUGUCAUCAUCUAGGUCAACCAGAUCAAAGUAGUCUGAGCAUUCAAAAUUUAUUGCGCGCUUUUUAUCAUAAACCAUUAGAUUAGUCGGAUCACAAACUUUAUUACGAUAAUGUAGUAUCUUUUUAUGGCUCUUUCGCGAACAUCUUUUCUCUUAUCAUAAAGCAUUGCCAGUAAGAAAUUUUCAGGAUGAGCGAAGUAUGAAUUAUUUUGGAUUACAGUGUUAACAAUUUCUCGCAGCGUUGGUGGUAAAUAUCGCGUGGACCGUAUAAAUUUAAAAAACAAGAGACUGCCGUAUACAACUGAGUUGUAGAACUUAUUGUUAAAGUACAUCGGUACGUAAACUUUCAUUAGUAAGUUGCCAAAGUUUUUAAAUUCGAUGAUGGUGAACUAGUUGUCACGUAUAAACGUAAGAGGCUGCUUGUCUUUGUUAGCCAUCGAGAGUGUACAAUUUGUACCGGUUUCAUACUGGCUAAAUUUUCGGGGCAGAAGCCAUCACAAACUACAUUUUCCAUUCGAUUCAAGUGCUGAACGUCAGUCGAGAGCGUUUUUUUCAUGAAUGGGUGGAGGCAUAUCUCCCAACGAAAUGGCCUCAAAGUCGGUUACAGCCUACAGAAAGAUUUUAUUUAUUUAGCUCAGAUUAAAAUAUACCUGCUAGGCUCUUUAAAACAAUUGUUUGCUUACCGUCAUCUCCUCGCAUGUUUCGAUUUGCUUUGUUAUUAUCCCACUAGCUAUGCGCGGUACGCUUGUAGUGGACUUUUCUAAUGGGGAGAACAAGUGAUGAAAUGGAAGUUCAUUAAAGUUUAAUAAACAAACAAACCAGUGAAAUGAUAUAUUCAACAUGACUUCGAAUCUCCUCAAAAUUCCAUAUUCAGAACCUGUGUUUGUUGCUUCUCCAUCACAGCAAAUUCCAAUCAGUCUCUCAAGGGACAUAUAUUUUUCUAUAAGGAACUCGCACAAUUGCCUCUGUUUUGUUUUAGCGUCCUCGGCGUCGACUAUUACGUAACCCAACAAUCUGCUCUCAGGCUUAAGAACCACUAAAUGUGAUUAUUUUACCAUUCUCGGAUGAGAUCUUUCAUUUUCUUCUUCGCUCGUCAGAGAGUUGUUUUUUCUGCCAUCAAAGGAGAAGGCUACCAGAUCACAGUCAUUGCGUUGCUUCCUUCGAAGAGAAUCCCUACAUUUCUUUCUUUCACGUGAAACUUUAGAUUUGUCCAUAAUUAUUGGUUCCCCAUUUUCAUCUUUAAAGUUAAUAGUAUUGAAAAGCGAUGUGGCCAAAAAGAAGCAACCCUAUUACCGGUUCCAAACCUCUCGCACGCCAUGACGAAAUUAGGAGUAUCGUACCUUUUGGUAUAUUCUUUUUUCGACGAACUUGGCUCUCUUGCAGUUGGAUCAAGACUAGUUGGCGCCAGUGUUGAUUGUUGGUCAACAGCAAUCGCCUCGAAUUCGGGAAUGGUUAGCUUCCUCUUACUGUGCUGAUCAAUCAUAAACUCUUGGAGUUCAAUGGGUAUUAAACCACAGCAGCAAGACAAUGUUUUUGCACACUGACAUUUUCCAAUAUAAAACACUUGAUCAAUUGUUUCCAGAAACGUUGAAGACUUACUUGGUCUACUUUUAAAUUUUAUUUCAUUAUGAUAUUUAUUUAGCAAUGUUUUCAGUUUUUUCGAGUCAGUUUUUUCUUUGAUAAACGGAGUGUUUAGUUUAUUCCAAUUUGUUUCUUGCCACUUGUGCGUUAAGAUUACCGUACGAUUGCUUUUUUUGUUAUUUUAAAAAUAAAUAGUAAUUUAAUACGUCACGAUUACUUGGUAGAUUUAGAUCGCUUAAAUCUGUUGGAAAGCCAAUAUUCAGACUGCGAAGAGCGCAACACCCGGAGUUCAUUGAAAUUGUAUCAAUUUCUGAAUUGGUGGAAUCAACUGAUAUUGCAGACGUUCCCAUUAUAAUUUAUUUCUCGAAAACUAUUUAAAACUUGAAAAAAAUUAUUUAGAACACACUAUUGUUUAUUCAACGCAGACCACUCGUAUGGUAAGAGUACCGUACGAUUGCUUUUUUUAUUGUUUUGCUCAGCCACGUGAAAAAAAAAAACAAAUAAGUUACAAAAGCCUGCUAUUACUGCAUUAAUUGCAUGGCAUGCUGUUAUUUUUAAACCUAUAGGUUUUUGAGUACAAUUUAAUAAGUAUGACCUCAAAAUCUAAAGUCGCUCUGCGCGAACUAGGAAUUAAUUUUAGACCCAUGGUUUCUUGGCAAAACAUUUUUAGAAUUUUCUGUAGAUUUCGCUUUUGCUAGCCGCUUUAUGUGAAAAAAAAUCGACCCGCUCUAGUAUAUAUAUAUAUGUAUAUUAUUUGCGUAGGAACCGCCUAAAUGACCUAGCCAGCGUAGCUGUCUUUUUAUUCGCUGAACUAUGUCAAUGUUGUCGUAUAAAUCGUACAGCUCAUCGUUCCAUCGUCUGCGGUAUUCGCCGUUGCCAAUGUUUAGAGGACCAUUAAUCUUGUGCAAAACCUUUCUCUCAAAAACCCCAAGAGUCGUCUCAUCGAAUGUUGUCAUCGUCCACGCUUCUACAUCAGGACGAGAAUAAUGAGCGACUUGUUGAGUUUGAUUUUGGUUCGUCGACAGUGGACUUUACUUUUCAAUUGCCUACUCAGUCCAAAGUAGCACCUGUUGGCAAGAGUGAUUCCGCGUUGGAUUUCGAGGCUGACAUUGUUGGUGUUGUUAUUACUGGUUCCCAAGUAGACGAAAGUAUCUACGACUUCAAAGUUAUGACUGUCAACAGUGACGUGGGAGCCAAAGCGCGUGUGCGCUGACUGUUUGUUUGAUGACAAGAGAUAUUUCGUCUUGUCCUCAUUCAUCACCAGACCCAUACGCUUCGCUUACUUAUCCAGUCUGGAAAAAACAAAACAAACGGCGCGGUUGUUGCUUCCGAUGAUAUCAAUAUCAUCGGCGUACGCCAGCAGCUGUACAAUCCUAUAAAAGAUUGUACCUUCUCUAUUUAGCUUUGCAGCUCGUAUUUUUUCCAGCAAUAUAAUGAAGAAGUCGCACGAUAGUGAGUCGCCCUGUCUGAAGCCUCGUUUGGUAUCGAUCGGCUCGGAGAGGUCCUUCUCGAUCCUGACGGAGCUUUUGGUGUUGCUCAACGUCAGUUUACAUAGCCGUAUUAGUUUUGCAGGGAUACCUAAUUCAGACAUCGCGGCAUAGAGGCAACUGCGUUCCGUGCUGUCGAAAGCAGCUUUAAAAUCGAUGAGAAGGUGGUGAGUAUCGAUUAUUCUCUUUCAUGUCUUUUCCAUGAUUUGGCGCAUGGUCAAUAUAUGGUCCAUGGUGGAUUUUCCUGGUCUAAAGCCACACUGAUAAGGUCCAAUCAGUUCGUUGACGGUGGGCUUUAGUCUUUUCGCUCGACAGGACCUUAUAUGCGAUAUUGAGGAGACUUAUACCACGGUAAUUGGCGCAGACUUUUAUGGAUUGGGCAGACAGCUCUGAGAUUCCAAUCAUCAGGCAUGCUUUUUUCCGACCAAAUUCUACAACGAAGCAGAUGUAUGAACCUUAUCUGUUCAUUGCCGUCGUAUUUGAAUAGCUCGACCGGUAAUCUAUGUUUGUUGUUAUUCAGGUGGCUUGCACAGACAGACAUCUGCUCGUCACCCUGAUCACUUUGGUAUAUAUAACUCAAUAUCUAACUCGUUUAGUUUUAGGUGUUACAAACAACCGUUAUGUGAACAAAGCUAUAAUACUCUCUCUUUAGCAACUUUGUUGCGAGAGUAUAAAAAUACGUCGAUAGAAUUUAGUGAAGUGUAAGUGUAUAAAUUCCAAAUAUAUCGAGAACUAACGUAUUAAAAUUUGUCAAUUUUUAAAUGCGCGAAUAACUCGAAAACUAUAAGUCUCCUGCAGCUAUUAUUGUAUACAUUGUUAAUCUGAAGGAUCCCCUCUAUCCUACCAUAUUCAUUUUAACCCCGAAAUCGUUAGAUGCUGUACUAAAGUCCAGUCAAUGAGAGAGUAAAAUGUAUAGUCGCACCCGAACUUUGCUCCUUCCUUACUUGUUGACCCUUUAACUUGAUGGAUGGUUUGAGUAAAAAAUAAAAUAACUGGGUAAAUAUGUACCCCUAAAAUGGCGUUAAGCGCAAAUCUAGAAAGAAUUGUAACUGUACUUUAAAAUAAGCUAUAAAAUUGGUAAAGAGGAUCACAGUUGAGUGGGGCAUAUAUGGUUUCAACUUUUUUACAGAGUGGGCGUGUUCGCGCCUCGUACAAUGUUUUGUGUUCCCAUUAAAAUCUACUAACUCGCACUCAUUAUUAAAAAUAAUUUUUUUAAGGGGUGAAGUGCGUUUCAGAGCAGAAAACCAAUUAUUUUUAUACUCUCGCAACCUGUUGCACAGUGUAUAAUAGUUUUGUUCACAUAACGGUUGUUUGUGUCACCAAGAAAUAUAAGAGUUAGAUAUGAGGUUAUAUAUAUAUAAAUGAUCAGGAUGACGAGUGGAUUUGAAAUCCGGAUGUCUGUCCGUCCGUCUGUCCGUGCAAGCGAUAACUUGAGUAAAAAUUAUGAUAUCUUAAUGAAACUUGGAACACAUGUUCCUUGGCACCCUGAGGAGGUUGCUUUCGAAAAUGGGCAAAAUCGGUCCACUGCCACGCCCACAAAAUGGCGGAAACCGAAAACCUAUACAGUGUCAUAACUAAGCCAUAAAUAAAGUUAUGAAAAUGAAAUUUGGAACAUAGGGAGGGGCACAUUUGGAUGUAAUUUUUUUGGGGAGGUGGGCGUGGUCCCGCCCUCAAAUUGGUUUUUUGUACAUAUCUCGGAAACCAAUAGAGCUAUAUAAACCAAACUUUCUGCAGUCGUUUUGUUUAGCCACUUCUUAGUACAGUUCAAAAAUGAAAGAAAUCGGAUAAUAACCACGCCCACCUCCCAUACAAAGGUUAGGUUGAAAAUUACUAAAAGUGGGUUAACUCACUAACGAAAAACGGCAGAAACAGUAAAUUUCACACAAGAAAUGGCAGAUGGAAGCUGCACUCAGAUUUUUUUACAAAAUGGAAAAUGGGUGUGGCGUCGCCCACUUAUGGGUCAAAAACCAUAUCUCAGGAACUACUCGACCGAUUUCAAUGAAACUUGGUUUGUAUUAGUUUCGUUACAUCUCAAUGAUAUGUUGUGAAAAUAGUCCAAAUCGCUUCACAACCACGCCUACUUCCUAUAUACCAGAACCUUGAAGACGAUCUGAAUCGUUUACAUUACAAUAUAUAAAGUAAGCACUAGUGAAGAUAUCGGUGCAGAACUUUGCACAAAUACUAUGUAUAUAGUGUGGCAGCCCCAUUUUAAAAAUUGCCGAAAUCGGACCAUAGGUUUUUAAGGCCCCAUUUAUCGAACACGAGGACCUCGGUGCUUCUAGUCCAAUAUUAUGGUUUCCAAUUUUCAAUGGACUUUAUACAAUAUAUAUGACGAAUAUGUGGGUCAAAUUGUGUAUUACAUUAUAUAAAUAAAGUCAAAUAAAUAAAUUGCGAGAGUAUAAAAUGUUCGGUUACACCCGAACUUAGCUCUUCCUUACUUGUUAUAUAUAUACAAUUAUAUAUUUAAACUAUUCAGCAUAUCAAAGAAAUGUAUUUAAAAAGUUUAUUUUUAAAUUGGUUUCAAUCGCCUAGGUGGUGUGUGUUGUGAUCUGAGUAUUAUAUGGUAGAUUGUGUUGCAACAUCAUUAAAGACGUGAAUAAAUGCUUUCUUGCGGAAAGUACAUGCCGGCCUCGGGCAAUGUUCAAAAUAAUGAAAACAAUCAGCCACUGGACGGCACUUACCUGGUGGAGGCUUCCUUUUAAUGCGUAAUGUUCUUAUUUACAAAAAGUUGUAGUAUGUAAUGACUAAUUCAUGAAAUAUUUAAUGAUUACAUAUUGAGAAUAUCACUUACCUAAAUAUAAUAGUCGUAUACAUUA